UCAGAGGAGGUUGGACAGCAGGCCGCAAAGCAUCAUGGGUAUUGAGCGCCUAAUUCCACGCGUGGCUUUCAUUGACUGUUGACUGUCGAGGAGUGAACAUCUCUCUGACUACAAAACCAAUAUGGAAGCUUUCGAACGACAAGAAUGUCAGGCUGCGAUAUUUUGUGAAAACAGCAUGUUAUUGCUGUAUUGUUGCGAUCAUCAUUAUGACUUGUGUUUUACUAUAUCAAGUUUACCUUUUUUUAAAUUGCAUGGGACGUGUUGUCAUUUUAGCUUUACAAAUAAUCCGUCUGAGAAAAGGAAUUGUGUUUAAUUUAUAUUCCCAAUAGCGAGGCUCUUCUUUCUAAGUUGGAUGGCGUUAAAUCUCUGUGUAUCAUCAAAGUGAAAACAAGCGCAGUAUUUAAGGUUGGUAUACUACAAUGCAUUACAGUUAUCGUGUUAUUUUAUAGUCAAAUUUCCGCUUUGUUGUUUUUAUUCUUGUACUUUUAAUAUAAAUACACUGUACAAAAUUAUGGCGUCAUACUUGUGUUUACAAUGCCUCUAGUUUGACCCUAUAGUGUGUGUAUAUGUACUGUGUCACUGUGAUACAUAUGUACAUGUUUUGAGUUAAACGAAUUGUUUAAUACAUUUUUGCUGAAGUAUGAUGCCUGUUUGUAUGGAUAGAUUUUUACAUAUAUGUGCAUACAGUAUAGUAUAUUUUUCAAUUUUCAUCUGUAAAAUAAUAUUUGUGUGUUGUUCUAAUAUUACUGUAAAUAGUGACACACUUUUGCAUUAGAUUGCUAAUUUUAGAGAUUACAGUGUAUGUAUAAAAUAAUAAAAUAAAAAUUUUCUUGUUAUGAUUUUGUAGAAAGAGAUCUACUUGAGUGGUUCAGUGGUUGGCUGGUCUUGAACCUGGUCAGCAUGGAUAUGGUCAUUAUAGGGCAGAAAGUGGUGACCAGUUAAGUGAUCAGGAUGAAAGUGACGAGGACGAAAUCACCCAUGCUGUGCCAUUCAAGUGCAUUGGUGCUGUUCAUGAGAAACAUUACCAAGAUCAUUUGUAACAGGCAUAAACCAGUGAAUGUAAGAAUAUGUCCAAAGCCAUUGAAUCCAAUGGACCAAAGUGCAAUAGCAAUUGAUGUAGACUAUGGAACUGGAUGGACACAUGUGAUGUUGGCUAUAUUAUUUGCACCCACUAAUUGCUGCAUGAGAUAUCUUAGAGGUCUAUGUUCAGCAUAUAAAGUAUAGGGUUGACUUUUUUAAAAUAGGAUUUUAUCCAAAAUUUUUCAUAAAGGGAUGUGGUGAGUGGGAACUCAAGUGGUAAGGAGGGGCAUGAGUGUAUGUCGACAGAUGUUUGUGAUAUAAUAGUAACUGACUAGGUUUAGCAAGUUAUAGAAAUGAUGUUAUUUAAAUUGGCUAACUUUUUAGAUUUUUUCAGCAUUUUUACCUUUCACUUUAUUGCCAAACAAAAAUGAAAAAUCAUUUAAUUUAAGUAGGUGUGUAUCUAUAAGAAAACAAUAUCUGUCAUGUGCACUUGUGCAACUCCCUCAAAAUAGCAAUAUUGCUUUUUUAUUGUGUAGGACACCAAUAUGGUUCUCAUUACCUAUAUCGAUCUAAACUUAAAAAAACAUGUGCUAUAAAUAAAUGCAUCUACCUAUUUCGUGACUGAAUAGAAUUUAUUUUGUCAAGCCAUGUAAUUAAUUUUCAAAUUGCUGUGACUUUAUGUAACCCUUCUGCAGGAAUUGAGCCUAAACCCUAAAGCACCAACCCCUAAAGCACCAACCCAUCCCCAACAAUAACAUUACAUCUUACUGUCAAUUUGUCUUUGAAAUCUGACCACCAAUGUUUAUUUGUAAGUUCGGAAUGUAUGUUGCAAAGUUUGACUGCAGUUCGUUUUAAAGUUGGUUCUGUGAAAAUCGGGCUGAGUUGAAUUUAAAUGGUUCUUAUUUCCAGUCAAAAUAUGGGUCUCUAUUUACUUGUUUCUAUAUACACCUGUUGACUCUGGAUGGUCUUCAGAAUUAUCAAAUAAUGUACCUGCAUUAUAAAUGCUUCCUCCUUUAACUUAAUAGUGUUCAUGCAUACUAAAAAACC